rnacentral:rRNA from 1 species
AACGAACGCUGGCGGCAGGCUUAACACAUGCAAGUCGAACGCCCCGCAAGGGGAGUGGCAGACGGGUGAGUAACGCGUGGGAAUCUACCCAGUUCUACGGAACAACAGUUGGAAACGACUGCUAAUACCGUAUACGCCCUAAGGGGGAAAGAUUUAUCGGAAUUGGAUGAGCCCGCGUUGGAUUAGCUAGUUGGUGAGGUAAUGGCUCACCAAGGCGACGAUCCAUAGCUGGUCUGAGAGGAUGAUCAGCCACACUGGGACUGAGACACGGCCCAGACUCCUACGGGAGGCAGCAGUGGGGAAUAUUGGACAAUGGGCGCAAGCCUGAUCCAGCCAUGCCGCGUGAGUGAUGAAGGCCUUAGGGUUGUAAAGCUCUUUCAGUAGGGAAGAUAAUGACGGUACCUACAGAAGAAGC